CAUUCGUAUCUGCGCAGUAUAAUCAUGCAUUGCGCAAUCAUGAAAUGUUUUAAUUUCUGUAUGUCAUAGUGUUUGGUUGAUAUAAAGUUGUUGGAACCUAUGUUUUAGUUGUCUUUUUGUUAUUUUCUUCUCUUGUGGAUUAUAAUAUUCAUAAUAAGGAGUAUAUACACAUACGUACUGGAAAUAAUAAGCAUGAAUGAGACUAUUAUAAAGUGUGGGGAGAGGAGCAGCUGGAGAUGUGGUUAACCUCAAACCGACCAGAAACAUAAAAGCAAAGCUAAGCAAAGUGAUGCAAAUCCAUGUCUAUCAAAUAAAUAUCUGCGAUGUUUUUCAUCAGUCUAAUUGAUACAGACAUCAUCAGAUGGUACACAGACUUGUUCGUUGGAGCUUGAAGGAGUUGGCAAAUGAAGAUGUUUUAAAAAUUAUUAUUUCUUGUUGUCUUUGUCAAAGAUGAGGCCCUAUUAUUAAUACAAGUCGGUAAGAUGGAUUGUGCAUCACAUUGGAAAAUAUAUUAUUAUCUAAUAAUUUGAUAAAAAUUUAAAUUAACAUUCUCGCCUGUUUAGAAACAUUACUCGUGUUAUUUAAUAUUUUACACUAGUGCAUUUUAAAUACAUGUGUGUAUUUUUCAACAUAUCUUUUUUAUACCAAAUAAUACUAUUUUAAUGAUUGGAUAUUUACGUAACUAUUUUGUAAGUGUAUGCUGUUAUAAUUUUACUAUUUUAACAUGCUUAUACUUAUUGCUGAAUAAAUAAUUAAACUGUAUAAAUAAUCAA